UACGUAGGGGGCUAGCGUUGUCCGGAAUCAUUGGGCGUAAAGCGCGUGUAGGCGGUUCGGUAAGUCCGCUGUGAAAGUCGGGGGCUCAACCCUCGAAUGCCGGUGGAUACUGUCGGUCUAGAGUACGGAAGAGGCGAGUGGAAUUCCUGGUGUAGCGGUGAAAUGCGCAGAUAUCGGGAGGAACACCAAUGGCGAAGGCAGCUCGCUGGGACGGUACUGACGCUGAGACGCGAAAGCGUGGGGAGCAAACAGG
rnacentral:rRNA from 1 species